CCCUUAGAGUUUGAUCCUGGCUCAGGAUGAACGCUAGCUACAGGCUUAACACAUGCAAGUCGAGGGGCAGCAUUUUAGUUUGCUUGCAAACUGAAGAUGGCGACCGGCGCACGGGUGAGUAACACGUAUCCAACCUGCCGAUAACUCCGGAAUAGCCUUUCGAAAGAAAGAUUAAUACCGGAUAGCAUACGAAUAUCGCAUGAUAUUUUUAUUAAAGAAUUUCGGUUAUCGAUGGGGAUGCGUUCCAUUAGUUUGUUGGCGGGGUAACGGCCCACCAAGACUACGAUGGAUAGGGGUUCUGAGAGGAAGGUCCCCCACAUUGGAACUGAGACACGGUCCAAACUCCUACGGGAGGCAGCAGUGAGGAAUAUUGGUCAAUGGGCGAGAGCCUGAACCAGCCAAGUAGCGUGAAGGAUGAAGGCUCUAUGGGUCGUAAACUUCUUUUAUAUGGGAAUAAAGUUUUCCAC
rnacentral:rRNA from 1 species